rnacentral:lncRNA from 1 species
UUUCCCCGUAAAGGGUUCCCUCUCCCCGGUCGCAGGAAGACGCCUGAGGGGGCGCUCGGAGGGAUCCCCUGCAGCCGCCAGGGCUGGACCGUGUGGUGCGCAGGUGAGAAGCCGGGAGGGCCUGGACAACCCCGACCGCGAGCCGGACCCCUGCUCUGACCGCAGCUACAGCAUCGGCUAAAAGGUCUACACCUUGAAGCAUUAAGGCUCGGGCAUCUGCGCCAAAUUUUACAUCUUUGGCAUAAGCCCGAGUGAGAUGAGGGGCCAGUACCCUGGACAGCAGUCUCAUCUGGGGAAAGACUGUGGGUAACGGAAGAAGC